CACUCCUACGGGAGGCAGCAGUGGGGAAUUUUGGACAAUGGGCGAAAGCCUGAUCCAGCAAUGCCGCGUGCAGGAUGAAGGCCUUCGGGUUGUAAACUGCUUUUGUACGGAACGAAAAAGCUCCUUCUAAUACAGGGGGCCCAUGACGGUACCGUAAGAAUAAGCACCGGCUAACUACGUGCCAGCAGCCGCGGUAAUACGUAGGGUGCGAGCGUUAAUCGGAAUUACUGGGCGUAAAGCGUGCGCAGGCGGUUAUGUAAGACAGAUGUGAAAUCCCCGGGCUCAACCUGGGAACUGCAUUUGUGACUGCAUGGCUAGAGUACGGUAGAGGGGGAUGGAAUUCCGCGUGUAGCAGUGAAAUGCGUAGAUAUGCGGAGGAACACCGAUGGCGAAGGCAAUCCCCUGGACCUGUACUGACGCUCAUGCACGAAAGCGUGGGGAGCAAACAGGAUUAGAAACCCCGGUAGUCCCAUGA
rnacentral:rRNA from 1 species